GCCAUCCACCCACCCACCAUCUCGUUCACGUUUCUCAAGGAUGGUUUGAGAGGAAAGAAUGGGAUAGAUGAUUGAAUCCUUCCUCGCCACAGAACAGUCAUCUCAUCUUGUCUGUCGUUACGUACGUCACAAGAAGAAUAAUCCCAUCCUCACCCACAGUAGUCCUCUCAUUUUCACCCUCUUUAAUUUGGUAGUAAAUUUGCCCUCCCCCUCUCUCUUUCUCUCUCCGUGUAUAAAUACCAUCUAUAUCUAUCCUCCUCUCUCGGCGAGAAGUAUCAUCGGCUUGAGGCAGUGGCAUGUGAUCUACUCUGUGUCAUGUGGGCUUAUCAAAGGGUUGCUCGCAGAGGUGAUUGGCAUUCUGUCCACCUCCAGCCACAUCCAUCUCUCACGAACAAGGAGAAGCAUACGGAUGGAGGUGGGCAUCCUGCCAACUGAACUCUGCUAGCUUCUCUUUGUAAAACCCAUGUGACAUAUCUUUCUUGCAACCGAGCACUUGGAUCCUUCUCAUAGAAGUACACAAAACAUGCACUGGAAGGUAAAGUUGAAGAUCGAACAUAUGCGGUCCUUCCACUGGUCUUUUGGGCUUUCUAGUGUUUCAUGACCUUACGUUUCCUUUGUUAGCAUGAAGGAAGGUCUUCCCUUCUUGGAUGCUAUCGUAUGUCAUCGUUGGAUGUUGGAAUUACAUGGGCUGUUUCGAUUUGCCUCCGCGCUCCAGGAAUGAUUACACACGGGAUCUUCUAGCUUUGCUUCGUUUUGCUUGUUUCCUCUCUCAGCCAUUCCUGUUGAUGCUUUACUGGUAUUCCUGUGCUAAUAUUUCAGGAGCGUUCCAAUCUCAGAUCUGAUGUAGGGCGAGAGUGGGAACGAGAGAUAGGAAGAAGACACAAGACUAUCUCAUUGUGAACCCUAAUUCCUUUCUAUUUUCUCUCCCAUGAAAAAUAUUUCUUUUUUUUCCCUAUCCAUUUUCUCUCACUGAUUUUUUUGGGGUUCUUCUUUACUAGAAAAAGGGGAACAAAAUCAUUCUUCGAUCUUCUUUCUUGCACCACCUUUUCCCAUCAUAGUGAAUUGAACUGUCUCAGGAAUGCUGAGAUCUUUUCCAGAAAUCUACACAAGGACCAGUUCAUGAUCUAUUCUUGAAGUUUCAGAAAUGAUCAUCACCACUGUUAGGGUUCUAUGAUCUUUUACCCAUGCUAGAGAGAAUCGAAUGCUUGACAAUGAUAAAGGUUUGUUCUUUCUUUUUUCUGUCUAAUAGUCGAAGAUUAUCCUUAAAGAACGAGGAGUACAUGUACUCGAACAUCAUCUUCCUUAUAGUUAUGUUUUGAUUUGGGUUUUGGAUGAACUAUUUUGUGCAAUUACAGCUCCAUGCAUAUGCAUAUAUGUCCCUAUUCAUCAUUAGGCUGGUUGAGAUAAGAUAGCAUGCGAUUUAUAUUCUUAUUUUUGUUUCAGAAAAUACAACUUGCCGUGAAAACACACCACAUUUCUUCCUAUUUGGAAAACAGAAACAGAAAGCUCUUCAAUUUCACAAUGACAAGUGCAUAUCAUCAUAUCAUAUCAUAUAUAUGCGCAUCACUCGAUUAUUUUGGCUUCUAUGUUUCAUUUCCCUUAGAAACCUCAAAUGUAAAUGCAAUCAAUAUAUUCCAGUCUUUUCUUAUCUUCUUGUUGAACUUGUGAUUCCGAAAACAACAUACAUGCAUUAGAAGCUUGAUGUUAAGAUUCAACCCGGGAGAAGGUGCUGUUCUCAUGAGCAUUAAUGGGUCAAGAGGAAGAGGAAUGCUUGAACAGCUGUAGGACGUUUGAUCUUUACCAUUUGGCAGUGGAGGGGCAUUGAGAUCAUCAUUCUCUUGUGCUAGCAUAGUAAUCUCUCUUGAAGUUGUCACCUAAUAAUGAGCUGCUUGAACCGUUCUUGAUCCAUAUUAAGUGGUCAAUGUUGCCAGGAGCCUGGGGAGCUCAGAAGGCAUUCAUUGUUUCAGCCUGCAGCAGCUGCUGAAAGUGAGUUCCAACAUGCUUUUGGUGGUGGAAUAAUUGCUCAUAGUUGUCUCUUUGCACAGAAGAUGCAUCAACCUUCUCUUUCCUACCCUCUUCCCUUAUGAGUUGCAUCCUGUUGGACCACAAAAACUUAUCACAUCAGACAAUACAAUUCUUUUCAGUAUACUCAUCAGAAAAUAAUGCUUUCAGGUUGAUCUGAAGAUGUGGUGUGUCAUCUCAAACUGGUAAUCCCUCAUAUGCUCCCCUUAUUAGACAGCUUGCCAUUUGCAGCAUUCUCACCCAAAAUAUGAUAUGAGCCACUGACAAAUGUAAUGAGUUAAUUGUGUUGGAAUUGUUGCUUUUCGCAAAUGGGUAUAAGAUUCAUGGCCAUCACACAGAUUAA